rnacentral:misc_RNA from 1 species
UACCUCCAUAUUUCCUGUAUCAGGAGCACCACAGUUGAAAAUUUGUGGCGCCCAGACAGAACGACCCAUAAUCUCGCACAGAUAUCCAUACUCCAGGUUGGAAAGACCAGCACCCAAUAAGCUACCAAAAUCAUUGUUCAGUAGACCAUUUCGGCUGCCAAAAAUAAGUUCUCUAGCCCGCGUAGCACUAUCAAAUGGUAUGAAUAAGUUCCACAAUCCUUCUUUUUUGGCCAGCUCCUUUAAUUUCUCUUCAUUUGGGUGAGCUGUCCAACGCAUGGAAGAUUCCGCAAGCUUGUAAAACUCAUUUUCUGUUGGAUAUAUAUGAUCCUCCAUAAAUUUUGUCAGUCUGUUCCUCAACUUUUGAACCUUCUCACUGGGCACAAAUUUCCCUCCCAUAGGUAAUCCUUGAUUUGAGCUAUCAUGUCCAAGUUGCCUGACAUGAUCCUCUAAGCUUGUCUCAGUUGGAGGGUGCUGAGGGAGAACAGAUUUUCUUUGGAUAAACGACCAUGCAGUUCUAACGAAGGCAUCAGCCUUUUCCCCAGCGCAUCGUGCACGGUCACCUCCUGAAGCAUUACCCAUGAUCCAUCUG